rnacentral:rRNA from 1 species
AUCAACUUUCGAUGGUAGGAUAGAGGCCUACCAUGGUGGUAACGGGUAACGGGGUGUUAGGGCACGACACCGGAGAGGAAGCCUGAGAAACGGCUACCACAUCCAAGGAUGGCAGCAGGCGCGCAAAUUACCCAAUCCCGACACGGGGAGGUAGUGACAAUAAAUAACAAUACGGGGUUCUUUCGGAUCUCGUAAUUGGAAUGAGUACAAUUUAAAUCUCUUAACGAGGAACAAUUGGAGGGCAAGUCUGGUGCCAGCAGCCGCGGUAAUUCCAGCUCCAAUAGCGUAUAUUAAAGUUGUUGCAGUUAAAAAGCUCGUAGUCGAACUUUGGGCUCGGCCGGGUGGUCCGCUGCUUCGGUGGCGAGUACUGCCUCUCUCAGGCCGGGCCUUUCCUCCUGGGGAGCCGUGGCGGGUGGCCUUCGGGCGGCCUGCCGCGGGGAGCCAGGACGUUUACCUUGAAAAAAUUAGAGUGUUCAAAGCAGGCGUACGCUUGCAUAGAUUAGCAUGGAAUAAUGGAAUAGGACCUGUGGUUCUGUUUUGUUGGUUUCUGGAACCGCGGUAAUGAUUAAUAGGGACGGUUGGGGGCAUUUGUAUCUCGUAGCUAGAGGUGAAAUUCUUGGAUUUACGAGCGACAAACCUAUGCGAAAGCAUCUGCCAAGGAUGUUUUCAUUGAUCAAGAACGAAAGUUAGGGGAUCGAAGACGAUUAGAUACCGUCGUAGUCUUAACCAUAAACGAUGCCGACUAGGGAUUGGGCGAUGUUGUUGUGACUCGCCCAGCACCUUCAGAGGAAACCAAAGUGUUUGGGUUC